rnacentral:rRNA from 1 species
UACGAAGGGGGCUAGCGUUGCUCGGAAUUACUGGGCGUAAAGGGCGCGUAGGCGGCACUGUUAGUCAGGCGUGAAAGUCCUGGGCUCAACCUGGGAACUGCGCUUGAUACGGCAGAGCUAGAGGAUGGAAGAGGCUCGCGGAAUUCCCAGUGUAGAGGUGAAAUUCGUAGAUAUUGGGAGGAACACCGGUGGCGAAGGCGGCGAGCUGGUCCAUUACUGACGCUGAGGCGCGACAGCGUGGGGAGCAAACAGG